AAGGCUGAACUGGGUACAAUGGGUUUCAUGCAUUGGAAUUGCUGCACUGUCAUGGCCAAUUGGUUGGUUUGUCAAAUGCAUCCCUUCUGAACGGCUCCCUUCUCUUCCAUUUAGAACUACAUUUUAAGAAGUGGAAUCUUAGAUCAACUGGGUGGAGGGAGGUCAAUCUUUAUACGUACAUGUCAUGCCAGAGACCACAAGCAUCAAGAAAGUUAAAACAGAAAUUAUUAAUCAAAUGAGGCCCUGAAGUAUUAAGUUUCAAAUGUCAGCCUUUCAGAAAGCAUGAAAUAGGUCUACAAGUAUGCAAUUAAAAGUUAUCAAUGUACUUCAGUUUUUACAGAUAAUUUUAUUUUCCUUUUCGCUCCUCUUUGUUAUCAUUAAAAGAUGUGUUUUUGCAAGUUUCACCAAAAUACACAUCAAGUAUUUUAUUUUGCAUGCUUUCAGAUUUGACAUGACUUUCUGGUUUCUUGGUUCACUUACACAUAUAUCCACAAAUUUUAAAGCACCACUUGAUGAUUUUCAUAACUUCUCAUCCUCUGUCCACCAAUGACUAGCUACUCGAAGGAAUUUCAUUAAGAAUGUAUGAGGACCAAACCAUCCUAAUCAAGAUUGACAAUUAUUUCAAGUAGGAAAUGUAGUGGCAUCAGACCAGCCUAGUUGAGCAUUCUAAGUUACUUCAGAUGAGGAUUAAGAAGCUACAGGUUUUAUUCUUCACCACUUUUUGAUUUAGAUCACUGAGCUCCCAUCCUUCAAAAUCACCAUUAACUUCACCUAGUAAAAACAUGUCUUGAUAUGAUGCAUUCUAGUUUUUGCAUUCUAGUAUUUCCAUUACUUUGACCAUAAUGGUAUUGCUCUAAGCCAUAAUGAUAAAAUGAUUCCUCUGUUGUCCAUCAUUAAAAGAAAAUGUGUGAAUUGAACUCCCUUCCCCAAUAAAGUGCCUAAUAGCAGCUAAAGUGUCAGAUAGCUACCUCUUUUGCUGAAAAUUAUGCAAACACACCAGGCUUUCUACAUGUCAAAUCCCUUCCAAUUUCACGAACUGUGAAUGGUUUGUACUCGAAAUGAAAAUCUGUAUGCUAGCCAGCAUGCAGAGAAUCCAUCCCCCUUCCUUUGACCUGUCUACCCCGAUUGUCUUGGCCAACAGAAUUCAAAGCCAUCAAAAUUGUAAGCCAUGUAAAGAUUUACAUACUCUUAAAAAAAAAGACAUUCAUCUAAUG
rnacentral:lncRNA from 1 species